CAGCCGCCGCGGUAAAACGAAGGGUGCAAGCGUUACUCGGAAUUACUGGGCGUAAAGCGUGCGUAGGUGGUGGUUUAAGUCCGUUGUGAAAGCCCUGGGCUCAACCUGGGAAUUGCAGUGGAUACUGGGUCACUAGAGUGUGGUAGAGGAUAGUGGAAUUUCCGGUGUAGCAGUGAAAUGCGUAGAGAUCGGAAGGAACAUCUGUGGCGGAGGCGACUAUCUGGGCCAACACUGACACUGAGGCACGAAAGCGUGGGGAGCAAACAGGAUUAGAUACCCCGGUAGUCCCUGUCUCUUAUAA
rnacentral:rRNA from 1 species